rnacentral:rRNA from 1 species
AGUGAACGCUGGCGGUAGGCCUAACACAUGCAAGUCGAACGGCAGCACAGUAAGAGCUUGCUCUUACGGGUGGCGAGUGGCGGACGGGUGAGGAAUACAUCGGAAUCUACUUUUUCGUGGGGGAUAACGUAGGAAAACUUACGCUAAUACCGCAUACGACCUACGGGUGAAAGCAGGGGAUCUUCGGACCUUGCGCGAUUGAAUGAGCCGAUGUCGGAUUAGCUAGUUGGCGGGGUAAAGGCCCACCAAGGCGACGAUCCGUGGCUGGUCUGAGAGGAUGAUCAGCCACACUGGAACUGAGACACGGUCCAGACUCCUACGGGAGGCAGCAGUGGGGAAUAUUGGACAAUGGGCGCAAGCCUGAUCCAGCCAUACCGCGUGGGUGAAGAAGGCCUUCGGGUUGUAAAGCCCUUUUGUUGGGAAAGAAAAGCAGCAGGUUAAUACCCCGCUGUUCUGACGGUACCCAAAGAAUAAGCACCGGCUAACUUCGUG